ensembl:lncRNA
GGGGGUGUAGGGUUGCGGCGCUCUGAGGACGGGGAUGGCGCGGAGCACUAGAAACAGUGAGUUUCUGUCUAGAUCGUGGGGUACCCAGGGGGGUGGGUCCGAGGUCGGGGAUGGAGAGGACGCGACCCCCGCGGCAGUCGAGCUGGCCUUUUUAAAAUUCUAUGUUUGAGAAAGAGUCUCCCGCUGUCGCCCAGGGUGGAGCGCAAUGGCGCGAAAUCGACUCACUGCAGCCUCGACCGCCAGGACUCGAGCGAUCCUCCCGCCUCAGCGUCUCGAGAAGGUGGGACCACCGGUGGGCACCGCCACGCCCGACUAAUUUUUAUUAAUGUUUUGCUAGAGCCAGGAUCUUGCUGUGUAGUCCAGACUGGUCUUGAACUCCUGGACUUCAGCGAUCCUCCCUCCUCGGCCCCCAAAGCGCUGGGAUUGAGAGCAUGAGCCACACUGCGCCUGGCCAAGCUAGUCCAUUUUGAUUGACCUUCACUUCAUGUCAAUUUAUUUUUUACUUUUCAAUUUGUUUAUUUUUACUAAAUUUAUUUUUAUUUUUAAUUAUUUAUAAAUUUAAUUUAAUUAUAUAUUAAUAUAUUAUAAUUAUAUAUUAAUACAAAAAUAAUUUAAUAUUUAUAUUUAAACUAUUAAAAAUAAAUUUAAAUUUAUUUUUACUAUUCAAUUUAGUCCUCAGAACAGUUCCUUAGAAUUGGGUAUUGCCCAGUUUACAUGGGAAACAUAGCAUCCAGGUAACGGGCUGGGUCCCGUGCUGGUAAUGGGAGCCCUGCUUGUCUGACUGCUUGCACCCCCUGCUGUCUAUGCUGGGCGCCGUGGGGUGCAUUAGGGAAGAGACCUGAAGAUGCAAUGCCUGUCCUCAAGGAGCCCAUUGUUCUCACGGGGACACAAAGCUGACACAUCAGGAACAAACUAUGGAACUGGCUGUGGUUGGGGGCCAUGAAGGAAAGCUGCCAAGUCUGGGCCCAGCCAGGUAGCGGCCACACCUCUACCCUGCUCCCCAACACUGGGCACCAGCACUUGCCUGCCCAGGACCCACAGUGAAAACCCACCCAUAAAAAAUGCACUUUGAAGAAGAGUAGCGGGUCCCAGGCAGAGCCAGGGCCACCUCUCAGAAAGGACCUCAAGUUUCUCGCCCAACUGAGAGAUGGACAGAUGACCGCACAAGCCACUCGCAGCCCAAGGUGAUAGACUAGGAUAUAUUCAAGGCUGUGCAACUGGCUUGAAGUCGUGUCUACUAACAUAUUCGAAGACCUAUGGAGCAUUCACAAGUUGUUCUUUUUACCCUCCAACUGGAUGUGUUCACAGCCAGUCUACCUAGGAAUGCUGUUGGCUGUGAAAACUCCAGAGAUGAAAACUCCAGAGGCUGGUGUCUUUAGAGUUCCAUCAGGGUGCUUUCAGCAUCUGGGCCCAGCAACUCUUGAGGUGAAAGUGCUCAUCCUUUUUUUUUUUUUUUUGAGACAGUCUCGCUCUGUCGCCCGGGCUGGAGUGCAGUGGCGCGAUCUCAAAGUACUCAUCUUUAUGUACUUUGGAUGCCAGUGAAUGUCUAUUGUUUUAGCCACCUGGAUCACUUUACCUGUUAACUAUUCCAAUGUGAGUUUACUUCAUGGGAUUGUCCCUGUUUUUAAAGAACAUUCUGGCCAGGCAUGGUGGCUCACGCCUGUAAUCCCAGCACUUUGGGAGGCCGAGGCGGGCGGAUCACCUGAGGUCGGGAGUCUGAGACCAGCCUGACCAAUGUGGAGAAACCCUGUCUGUAUUUAAAAUGCAAAAUUAGCCAGGUGUGGCGGUGCAUGCCUGUAAUGCCAGUUACUCGGAGGCUGAGGCAGGAGAGUCACUUGAACCCGGAAGGCGGAGAUUGCGGUGACCUGAGAUUGCACCAUUGCACUCUAGCCUGGGCAACAAGAGCAAAACUCUGUCUCAAAAAAAAAAAAAGAAAAAAUCUAUGUGAUUUAAAGAUCAGCCUCCUCUUCCACGGCCAGCCCAGUAUUUGAGACUGCUAUGGUUUGAAUGCCGGUCCCCUCUGAAACUCAUGUUGAAAUUUAAUUGCCGUCAUACCAGUAUUAAGAUGUAGCACCUUUAAGAGGUGAUUAGGCCAUGAGGACUCUACCGUCAGGAAUGGGUUAAUGUUGUUAUCAUGGGACUGGGUUUGUUAUUCAAGUAUUUUUUAUAAAAGGACUAGUCUGUCCCCCUUUUGGCACGCUCUUGCCCUCUCUUUGCUGUUCCACCAGGGGAUGACACAGCAAGAAGGCCCUUGCCAGUUGUCAGCCCUUCAGUCUUGGACUUCCCAGUCUCCAGAACCAUGAGCCAAUACAUUUCUGUUCAUUAUGUAAAUUACCUAGUCUGUGGUAUUCUGUUAUGGCAGCACAAAGCAGGGUAAGACAGAGGCAAAGACUCACCUGUACAAAGGUGGAAGCUUCAAAAGAAGCCAUUCGUGUAUGGGGUGGCGCUGCGGAAGGACCACUGUAGAGAAUCCCUCACCAGUAAGGAACUGUGUUAAUCAGGUAACUAAUUAAUUUUUUAAAAAGUUUUUUAAGAGACAGGGUCUCACUCUAUUGCCCAGGCUGGAACAGUGGUGCAAUCAUAGCUCACUAACGGUGACCUCCUGGGCUCAAGUGAUCCUCCCACCUCAGCCUCCUGAAUAGCUGGGAACACAGGCAUGUGCCACCACACCUGGCUAAUUUAUUUAUUUAUUUACUUAUUAUUAUUUUUUGCAGAGACAGUCUCCCUAUGUUGCCCAGGCUGGUCUUAAACUCCUGGGCUCAAGCAGUCCUCCCACUUCAGCCUCCCAAAAUGCUGAGAUGACAGGCAUGAGCCACUGCAUCUGGCCCCAGAUUUUCUUUUUUAAAAAAGCAACAUGUGUAUGAUACUGUAGGGGAGGGAAAUAUCUACUUCCUCCUCUUAGGGUCCUGGCUGGGCCUGGGAACUAAGUUGAAAUCAGAUGGAUUAACAGGAGAAAUGUAUACAAAUUUAAUGUCGCCUUCAUGUGACACAGAACCCUCCUAAGGAAGCAAAGACCCAGAAAAGUGACGAAACCUAUGUGUUUUUGCAAGAGGUUGAACAAAGAGGCAGUUGUGGAAAAGUAAACCAUGUGGGGAGGCUUGAGAACAACAGGAAUUACUUUAAUUACUUCAAUGUCUGUACAGAAUUCUGUCGGCUAUGAUGUGCUUCCCUGUAAAGGAAUAUUUCUUUGCCCGGUACGGGAAAGGAGUCUUUCUUUUCUUUUCUUUCUUUUUUUUUUUUUAAAGACAGUCUCACUCUGUCACCCAGGCUUGAGUGCAGUGAUGCAAUCUCGGCUCACUGCAACCUCUGCUGCCCAGGUUCAAGCGAUUCUCGUGCCUCAGGAGAAUCGCUUGAGAUUACAGGCACCUGCCACCGCGCUCGGCUAAUUUUUGUAUUUUUAGUAGAGACAGGGUUUCACCAUAUUGGUCAGGCUGGUCUUGAACUCCUGACCUCAUGAUCCACCCGCCUCGGUCUCCCAAAGUGCUGGGAUUACAGGUGUGAGCCACUGCACCUGGCCGGGAAGGCAUCUUUCACAUGGGCAUUUUUAUCUCCUGUCUUCAGGAGGAAAAGGAGAGAUUCAAUGAUGCUCUUGCCAGUGCCAUCUUUCAAGUGCCUGAGGUAGAAGUGAUUCUCACGUCAAAGUCACAGAGUCAGCCACCCUUCGAUCCCAAUGGAAACGUCCUAAAAGCUGUUUACAGCGAACAGUUUCCCUUCCUCCCCGACCCCAGACCCUAGUUCCCUGCCCACUUGGAAUCAUGAUUACGGGUUUCCUGUCGCCAUUCUAGAGACUUUUAUACAAAGAGAGUUUUAUCUAUGAGAAAAUAUUUUAUAGUGAUCCUGUUCUUCAUACCAAUUAAACCAACUUCCCUGAUC